GCCCAGAAGAGAAAGGCCCUGUUCUCACAGCAAACAGGAAAAGGAAAGAGAAAAAAGCAAGCUGUCUCCCGACAAGGUUUUGCUGGGCUGACUGUGAACUGUUCCGGUACAUUCCAUCAAAUGGAUGCCUUCAUAGAGUCAAGCCAAGCGCGAACACUGUGUCUGGGUCUCCCGCUCCAGGGACACACAUGUGGGCCAAUGGCGUGCACACGCUCCUGCACUCGCGCACCCUGGGAGAGCACUUAUAUGGGCUUCAUAAGGCUAAGCAUCUCCUUUCAGGAGGCAGCAGUGGAACAAAAAACUCUGACAGCACGACCAGGGCAGCUCGCAGCCAGCCAGCCGCUCCUACCCCAGGGGCUCUCAGAUGAUGGCACACAAGCACAGAGAGUGGAAGAGAUGAUCUGGCCUACCUGGUACUCACUUCCAAGUUCCCUUAGCGACCUUGUGCUUCGCCUUGCCCAUUGUGACUGGUUUACCAGGAGGGCCAGAUGUGCACUUGGAAACCAGAAGUGUACCCAGGCCCGCAGAUGUCAGAAAGUUGCAGCAGAAGAUGCUGGAAGUGCCCAGUGGCUGCAGAGCUACAGCUGAUCUCCGUGGCCACCGCGCCAGCCUGGAGCCCGGUCGUUUCUCUCAUCACUCAGCCUCAUCUUCAUCUUCAUCUUGGGCCAAGUAGUUGGUGAUCUCUUGAAAGCAGACAAGACAAAAAGGAUGCGUUAGUUCAGCCUCUCUCCAUCGAACACUGUUCGCCAUUGCAGUUCUGAUUAAAUACGGGACAUUGUCUCAUAGUAAUGCCCUCCUGGCGGCGU